AAAGGAUUGGAGACGCGUGAAGUGAAAUAGAAUGCAAAUUUCCAAUUAUUUUGAGCAUCGUUUCGCGGCUCGUGUCUUUCUUACCGACUUAUUGCGCCAAUGAUAUAAUGAAAACGAUUGAUAUGUCUUAUCUUCUCGUUUACGUAUUUUUGCUUUUUUAAAAUGGAAAACGAAAGGUAAUUGAGUCGAGCGAGAUAAGGGGACGCUUCUUUUGUUAAUUGAGAGUAAUUCUAAUUGAGAAUAAUUUCUUGAUUCUUCGGGAAAAAGAAACGUCAUAGAGUCUAUAUUGUAGAUAUACUCUUAUAUAGGGUAUAUAUAUAGAAAUAUUUAUUGUCGUUUGUCGAAGUUUGAUUUUUUCUUAUCGUGUUUAAGUUAAACGCGCUUUGUAUAUUUCCAUUAUUUUAUCAUUUAUUUUAUCUUCGUUAUUAUUAAUAUGUAAAUCAAUAAGAUUUCAUUUUAGUUUCCAUUUUAAUAUUUUUUAUUUAUUUCAUUUUAUCUGGAUCAUACGUGGCCUAAAAUUUUCACUGGAUUAACAUGUUUGUUUAAUGAGAAUUAAAUUGAAAUUUAAAAACUAUAUUAUCUUUUAUCAGCAUUAUUGUAUAGUCUAUCCUUCAAUUCAUUCGACUUAUGCAGUAUAUACAUCGAUCUAUCAUCACUGGACUUUGAAUGAAUAUCAAUUUACAAAAUUAUCCGUUUUUUCUUUACUCAGAAACGAUAUUAUUGAAAAUUCGUUGAAUAAAAUUUGUCUGGCAAAUAAAGGAGAGAUCGUUUGCGAAAAAUGACGCGUUUUACGUAAUUUCACGCCGGAAAGUAUAUCGAUAAAAAAAAGAUAAAAUAAAUAUUGCGAAAAAAAUAGACGAAAAUUACAUGCAAUAGCGCGAAAUGUAAAGAUUUUAAAAUAACAAAUUAUCAAUAUGAUAAAUCAUUCGAUUUCGUAACCUUCGUUUCAUAACGAAGGAAUUGAUUCUCAAUAAAGUAUAUUUCGUGGAAAUCGAAUAUCUCUUCGUCUUCAUUAUAUCUUAUUUUAUAAUUUUCCUUCUAACAAAGUUUAAAAUCGUAGUUAAUUUCGUACCACGGUAUUCAUUGCGAUAUUUUCUUCGCGUAAAGAGAAUAAAUUCAAAAACCCAUCGUUGUUUUUCCGGAACAAUGUCGUUCCAACAAUCUAGUUGACCAAUUAUUCGGAAAUAAAUGGUUCCAACGAAGAAAUUAUACUCUGAUAAGUGUUUGAUAUAGAAAUCGGUUGAAAUUCAAGAGAUGGUGUCAAGAAAUUGGCAAAAAUCCAAAUUCGAUUACGAUCUCUUCCGCAUGCUAUAAAUCGAAUGGCGCAUAGCAGACUUUUUUUUGAUCCGCAUUAUCGGAUGUUUCAAUGAUGAUUCUCUCUGAAACGUUGGCAAAUACAUUCAAAAAUGUAUUGAAUCGAUCUUUCUAUUCUUUAUCAAUUUUUCAAUUCUUAUCAAUGAGAGCAACUCGUUUUAAUCUCAAAUCUAUUUUCAAUUUAAAGUAACUCUUACAAUACAAUAAGAAUUGUCUCAAGCUCGCGAUGAAUACAUAUUUGAAAUUUAUUUCGAGCCUCGAGAUCGUAUAAAGGACGCUAAUGAACUAUUAUUUCGAUCGUUACAUUUUUACGUUCCAAUUACAAGUACCGAUAUUCAGAACGAGUGGUACAACUUUGUUGCGGACAAUGCUCGUUACUCGAAUCACAAAAAAAUAUCAUAUCACAAGGACUUUUUCAUUUGACGUUGUUGUGGCUCGUUAAUGCACUCAUUGGUCUGACGAAUCUUCCCGCUGCCAGUCGAUCGUUGAAAAUUUCGUACGCUUUCAGCAACGUGUAUCGCGACGCGUUUUAUUCAAGAAUGCCUCCAAUUCAUCGUGUGCAUCGAUCGUUUGACAUUUGUCCUUCGGUGAAACUCUCGAAAACGCGAAGAAUUUUAAUCCGUUAGAUAUCAGAAGCGUCGAGAAAUCGAAUUCCUUCGUAUUCGCGGAUCCUCUUUCGUGUUUUUUUUUAUAUCGGUAGGUACCAGGUUGACCUCCAACAAUUAAACAAUUAUCGUGUGCUCCCCUCAUUUAUUAUCCCACUCUCCCUUUAUCGUAACUGCGUACAAGAGGACCGUCUAUUAUGUAAAACCACAUAUAUUACAUGUACACAUAGGUAGAACGCAGAUAAUCAUAGCGUGGUAAUUAUCCACUUGACAGCUGCUAAUCCUCGGCUGACCGUUUAACGUUUGUCACGAUCUUGACAUUCUGAUAAUCAGCCUUGAAAACUUCCAUAUAUACUUUCACGAGCUUUGGAGAAAUUCAAAUAGUCUGAGAAACCUGUUGAAGAUUAUCAUUACGAUGUUUAUCUUAUGAAUGAUUGCUAUAUAUAUGUAUAUAUCUAGUUAUCGUGAUAAUGUAUCGCAUACACGUAAAGAAAAAUGUCAUGGUUCUAUGUGAUCAUUGAACGUGUUGCAAUUUCAUUAUUAUCUUGCAUUAUAUCUUGUGGAUUUAGACGAUUAAAUAUUAUUAGAUAACUAGGAAAGUUUUAUCAUUUUUUUUUAUGGCAAAAAAGGAAGGUGUAAGAGAUUUAGAAAAUAAACUUUCAUUUCAUCAUAAAUAUAUAUUAUGAUGAUUUUAUAAAAGUUACGAUUUUGAAAGAUAAAAGAUUCUCCUUUAACACUCUCUAUUUUUGGUUUUGGAGAUAGAAAGAAAAAUCUCAAAAGAAAAUGAGAAUUAAACAAGAAUUUUGAUCCAUUUUCCUCUGAUUUUUCGUUCGUUCAAAAUUAUGAUUUAAUUAUCGAAAGGAGAAAACAAUAGCAAUACAUACGCAAAAUAUAUUAUGGUAAAUAUGAAAUAAUAACUAUCCUUGUACACAUAAUUCGAUAAUGAACUUUAUAUUUUCUCACGUUAAUGGUUAGCUAUUGCAACAUACACCUUUGUAUAUACAAGUUUUUUCAAUAGCCUUUUAAAUCAUUCAAAUUCAUUGCGUUACGAAUUAAUUUCCUCGUCAUUUUUACGACGGUAUUAAAUCGUAAAGUGUAAAUUGUACGUUAUAAAGUAAUUUAUCCCAACACGUAUUAUGCAAACAACGAUAUUGCGAAAAAGUUGGAAAAACGAUAUUAACGAAGAGGAUGAAAGAAAGUUUUAAACGAAAUCAAGAAUAAGUUUUCAAAAAUUCGUAAAAAGGAUCGUACGUCGCAUAGAGUCUCGAUGUUUAAAGCUCUUCGUAAAACGCAAAACGUUCACGAUUCCCUCGUAAAUUCGCGUCUCCUCGUCGAGUUUUUAAACAUCUUUGUUAUCAUUAUUAUCCUUCUUCGAACAUGGUGGAUCUGCGUAGUCGAAAAAAUCGUAUCGUCCCAAAAGAGCCGCGCUUUUUACGAUGUUUUAUUACGCGAGAUACAUCUGCGACACACGUCUCGAACGAAACUGUUUCGGCUUAGUAAUCAUCGGCCUCGGUGUUUAGGAUCGCACGUGUCAACUGAUUACGCAUAAUCGAGUAACAGUGUCCCUCCUCGGUAAUUUUCGUUCACUUGUUAGAAUUUCACGGUACAAUGUGCAAUUUUUCCGUUUACUCAUGAGUGGUAUCGAUUCGAAAACAAACGUCUCUUUAACGCGACCGGAUAUCGCGCGUUUUCACCUUAUCCCCGCUUAUCUCGCGAAGAUGACGCGAGUCGAAUUGGAAGUCGAAUCGAAUUCGAAGGAAUCAAAGACGAUCCGUAUGCGAUGCGGAAUCGCACGCAACUCCUUCUAUUGUUUCGCGAAUAAAACGUGAGGCAUUGUUAACUAUUAUCGCGAUUCGAGUCUACGCCGUGGACAAUUAAAUUCGUAAGGGAAAAGAUAUGGAUCGUGAGGGAUCGUUGAAGAGUGGUUCGUCACCGUGGAUGCAGCCGGGUAUCGGAGGUGGAGGUGGCGCGGCCCACACAGGUGGGACAGGUGACGACGAAGCUCCGAAAGAUCCCGGUGUUCGGAUCACUCAUCAACCUUUCACCGAGAAAGACUACGAAGGUCACAGAGCGCACACGGUGUAUGUGGGCGUGCAUCUACCAGGCGAAAGGAGACAUCGUCGUCAUCACAAGCACCAUCAUUCUCAACGUCAAACGUACAGUGCCGAUAAGGAUAAUGUCGACAACGAUAGGCCCAUUACACCCCCAGCCCAGAGGGUGCAAUUUAUCCUGGGCGAAGAAGUUGGCGACGAUGCACACGAAUCCCAUCCUCUCUUCUCCGAGAUGGAGGAGCUCGUCAAGGAUGGUGACGAGAUGGAAUGGAAGGAAACAGCCAGGUGGAUCAAAUUUGAGGAAGAUGUCGAGGAGGGUGGAAAUAGAUGGAGCAAACCACACGUAGCGACUCUCUCGCUACACGCCCUCUUCGAAUUGAGGAGCUUGCUGUUAAAUGGGACCGUGAUGUUGGACAUGGAAGCGAACAGUCUUGAACAGAUUGCUGAUUUGGUUCUCGAUAAUAUGAUCAAUAAAGGCUCGUUGCCGGCCGAGUCGAGAGAAAAGGUCAGGGAAGCUCUUCUGGUGAGGCAUCGGCAUCAACACGAGAGACGUAAAGAUAACAACAUGUCUAGGCUACCUAUUAUCAGAUCAUUGGCCGAAAUAGGUCGAAAUCAUUCCUCUUCGAAGAAUUACGACUGUACGUGUGGUUUGCAUGCGUUGUUGACGUCAGAUUUACAGGAGCGUCGCGGUAGGGACGCCUACGCGCCCUCCGUCGCUCGCAGCAGCAGUUGUCCAAAUCCAAACACAGCUCUACUUUCGAAAGAAACGAAAGAUUUGAAAGGACCGUAUCUUCUGGUUCCAGGCCAAGAACCAGGCCCUAACGGAAUGGAUCGAAGUCCGAGUAGCGUGUCAAUUAGCCGAAAUCACAGUUCGUCCGCCUUAGAAAAUGGAGAUGCGAAUCACAAGGGUAAUACGCAUUUUAUGCGGAAGAUACCAGCGGGAGCCGAGGCGAGCAAUAUUCUCGUAGGAGAGGUCGAUUUUUUAGAUAAAACUCUAUCGGCUUUCAUUCGAUUGAGCCAAGCUGGAAUAAUGGGUGAUUUGACGGAAGUUCCUGUGCCAACGAGAUUUAUAUUUGUUCUGCUUGGACCAACGGGAGGGCUCACAGGUUUCCACGAGAUUGGUCGUGCAAUGGCUACUUUAAUGUCUGACGAGGUCUUCCACGAUGUGGCUUACAAGGCGAAGAACAGAAAUCAUCUUCUCGCCGGAAUUGACGAGUUCUUGGACGCGGUCACGGUUCUACCACCAGGAGAAUGGGAUCCUGCAAUCAGAAUAGAACCGCCUGCUGCCAUUCCUUCGCAGGAUGUAAGAAAACGACCAAAAGAAGAAAAACCGAAAGAAGAACUGGACGAAGAAGCUGAUGAACAAAAAUUGAGGGAAGAAUCCGGACUCUCGAGGUCUGGUAAGCUUUUCGGUGGUUUGAUAAACGAUAUCAAGAGGAAAGCGCCGUUUUACUUCUCCGAUUUCAAAGACGCGUUGGCUCUUCAAUGCGUAGCCUCUUUUAUCUUCCUAUACUUUGCCUGUCUCUCGCCUAUAAUCACAUUUGGUGGUUUAUUGGGCGAGGCUACGGGAAAAAAUAUGGCCGCCAUGGAGUCGUUAGUUUCUGGUUUCGUUUGCGGUAUCGGAUAUGGAUUUUUUUCUGGACAACCUUUAACCAUCCUCGGCUCAACCGGUCCCGUUUUAGUCUUCGAGACGAUAGUCUAUGAAUUCUGCAAGAAAUCGGAUUGGAACUACAUGUCGUUCCGUUUUUGGAUCGGCUCAUGGAUAACCUUAAUUUUGGUAAUUCUCGUAGCGAUCGACGCUAGUGCUUUCGUGUGCUACAUCACACGUUUCACAGAGGAAAACUUCGCCACUCUGAUCGCGUUUAUCUUCAUCUACAAAGCCAUUGAAAACGUAUUGUCCAUCGGCAAGAAAUAUCCUAUUAAUACCCAUGCAAACGAUCCGUUCGAUUACGAGUGUUGGUGUAGGCCGCCGAAUGGCAGUCUACCGUCUAGCUACGACAACGUUAAUUGGACGGCGCUCGAUCAAAAAACGUGCCAGAAUUACAACGGUACGCUAGUGGGCGAUGGUUGCAACUUACCACACUAUAUACCUGAUGUGUUCCUCAUGUCAAUUAUACUAUUCAUAGGCACAUUUCUGUUAUCCGUUGAGCUCAAAGACUUCAAGAACGCUCUCUUCUUUCCAUCGAAGGUCAGACAAGUCGUUAGUGAUUUCGCGGUGAUAAUAGCAAUUUUUUCGAUGAGUACUCUCGAUCAUUUCGCGAAUAUUCCGACGCCGAAACUCGAGGUACCAACGGAAUUCAAGCCAACGUUGGCCGAUCGAGGAUGGAUAAUCUGGCCUUUUCAAAGUAAUCCAUGGUGGAGCGCUAUUGUUGCAAGUCUGCCAGCUCUGUUAGGUACUAUAUUGAUUUUUAUGGAUCAACAAAUCACAGCCGUGAUAGUAAAUAGGAAAGAGAAUAAAUUAAAGAAAGGAUGUGGCUAUCAUUUGGAUCUAUUCGUUCUCGCGAUUCUGAUAGAAAUUUGCUCGGUAAUGGGAUUACCCUGGUUCGUAGCGGCAACGGUGCUUUCGAUUAAUCAUGUGAACUCGUUGAAACUGGAAUCGGAAUGCGCCGCACCAGGAGAAAAACCACGAUUCCUUGGUGUUCGCGAGCAGCGAGUAACGCAUAUUUUAAUCUUUUUGAUGAUCGGUUGUUCGGUCCUACUCACACCAAUGUUGAGACACAUACCUAUGCCGGUAUUAUUUGGCGUUUUUCUUUAUAUGGGAGUCGCUUCAUUGAAAGGACUUCAAUUUUUCGACAGAAUUUUAAUUAUGUUGAUGCCGGUUAAAUACCAACCCGAUUAUAUGUUCCUUCGACAGGUACCAUUGAAACGCGUACAUCUAUUUACAACGAUACAAUUGACUUGUUUAGCCUGUUUGUGGAUCAUCAAAUCCUUCAGCAGUACUUCCAUUCUUUUCCCUUUGAUGCUGAUGGUGAUGAUUGGAAUACGCAAGUCCUUAGAUUUGAUGUUCACGCAACGGGAAUUGAAGAUCCUGGACGAUAUAAUGCCGGAACCAAGCAAAAAACAUGCCGAAGAUCUUCGUCAAUUGGAGAACGGCGAGGAACAAAACGAAUCCAAUCCAAUCGGAUAUGGUCCAUCAGGUAAUAUACAAAUCUCAUUGGCGAAUGGCAACAUUAUGAAAAUUCCAAUGGCGAGCAUCAAUAUCAGCGAAGAAGUGAAUAAGACAGGGAUUUGGCAACAAGUAAAUGAAGGCAACGAGAAAAUGAAACAAGUCAAACUAAUCAACGCGGGAAAGCAAAAAAAGCACUCGAAGAAAGAUAACUUGUUGAUGGCCGACGAGACUACGAGGCUGACUACGAUGACCGAAGAGGAUGAAGAUGACAGUGGGAUCUCUAUCAAGGUGACAAACGUAAAUGACUCUAAAUUCUAGCCACCACCACCAUCACCAAACCGAUAAAUCACAUGGCAAGUCACACAGCAAGAGCACCAAUACACCGGCAUGCAACAUACCCCCAUGUACGCUACUGUGUAGACUUGAUACGAUCGAAGGAAAGCAUCAGCCCGUUAACGAUUAACGGCACUACUUCGGCCGAGACUUCUGUUUAACGAAAACAACGCUACACUGGGAACGAUUCGCGAGAUCGUUUUUAAUCGUUAAAAUAUCCCGAAGAUUCCAUUACGAAUUAAUCGAUACAAUAUGUUUUAAUUUUUAUCGUACGCGUUAUUGCCAGCCAAGAUACAAACACAAUUAUGGUGAAUCGUUGAAAGAAAAUUAUCACGAGAACAAUAACCAAGUUGAAGCAUGUGGAACACUAUAUGAAAGUUUAAACAGCGAUAAAAAUAAGUGAAAAAUAAUUUUUUUUUUGUUUUUACAGAGAAUAAAAUCGCAUGCAAGACUAUCUUAUCUCAUUGCAUUUGUAAUUUGAUCGAGUGCAAUUAAUGAGUGCCACUGACAUAUAUCUAGAUUGUAACUAACAUGAACGUAUUUUAUUCAUAUAAAAAAAAGAAAAAAGAAAAAAAAAGAAGAAAAUGAAGAAACGCACAUGAUUAAAAUUUAAAAUAAAAUGUUUUAGCUUUAAGAUUCGAUUCACUGAUAAUUUGAUGCGUGAAUUGUUGUCAUUUAUUGAAUCAUGAAUUUAUUGAUGAAAAUAUUCUUGUCAGUGUGCAAUAACGUGUAAUUUAACGAUUAUAUGAAUUAAAGAUAGUUCGUGCCCAUGAUAACUAUGCCAAGAAAACCCCUUUGAUAUAUCGACGUUUCCUUCGAGGGAUGUCUCGUAGAGAAGCUUGGCCGAAAUGCAACAUGUCCUCGAUCAUAAAAAGAAAGUCGAAAGAUAGACAAAAUUCAUCCUUGACCAACAAAUUAUGCAAUAUUAAUAACUUUUUUUUAACUCGAUUGGUUUUUAUCCAAAUUCUUAAAGAGUAUUUUUUGAAAAUUUUCGAUAUACGUAUAAUACCGGCCAAUAGCGACAAUAUCAAUAUUAUUUAAUAGAAUAAAUGUACAUCUUUUUUACACUGAAAUUUAAUUGUAUGAAAUUCGGGAAGAAUUAAUACUAGAGAACCAUUUUUCAUAUUUUUUAUCAAAAUUUUAGCAUGACUGAAUUUUUCCAUGUCCAUAACGCCGUCCCUUGAAGGAUGUCCUUUUUUUCAAGAAAGGGAAACGAAUAAUGAGAUUUUUAUCAUACUGCAGUCUUUCACAUAGUAAGUGUAACGAUCUUGAUUUUUAAAAAUUUAAAUAAAAACUUAUGCGGAUCGUUGCACGAAUAAGUUGUCAUUUUUCUUCUCCGAUUUUCGACCCGAUCGAUGGAAGCGAAAUGAUUAGUGUGAGAAGAUUAAAAGAGAAUAUUUAAUACGAUAUUUUUCAAAUGACACGUUAUCAAAUUAUUAUACACGUUAAAUUUCCAAGGCUUUACAAAUAUAGUCGAAAAUUGCGUGAUAAGUCGAUAAAUGAAGAACGAUUGAAUUCUUUGUAUUUCGUGAAAAAAACGUUGUAAAUUAAAUGACUAAGAAUGAUAAGGGACAUUAAUAAGCCUCAUCCUCAUACAACAUAUAUUGGAAUAUUUCCAUUGAUAUAAUUACAACAAAGUACGAAACAAGGCAAUCGUUCGUGUUGAUGUUACGUGUAUUUGUAUAUAUUUAAGAAAAAAAAUCAUUUGCAGUUCUGUAUACGCUCGCAAUGGGAAAGAAGUCAUUAAUUGGAGCUAUACGCGAACUUUUCUGAUGAUGAUUUAAAAAAUAUGUUCGUUAAAUCGCUGCUUAAGUAUUAACUGGUUGUGAUUAAAUUUUCCACUGAGAAAGACCGUUAUUUACGCCUUUUGUUUUAAAGAUACACCAAAAAAAAAUACCAUUUUGUAUAUCAUGUGCGAGAUAAAUGAAACUCUUCUUUAAAAGAUAUAUGUAAAAAAUUAAUAAAAUGAUGAAGAGAUGUGAAACGAUAUUCUGCUAGAUAAUAUAUUAAUUGCAGUAACAUUUAAUUUGCAUAUUUUAUAAAAAUCGCAAACAUGUUUACUGCGUCUUUUUUAUAAAAAUAUCGUAAGUGUAUAUUGUGCAUUAUUUAGAAGAUCUAGUCCAGCAUAACCACAAUGGAAUACCAAAGAUUUUUCAAAAAUAAUGAUGAUCGAUCGAAGUUGAAAGCAUAAAAAUAUAAAUUUAAGCAUAGUAAUCGUAUAGCAUCAAAUAAUUAUAGGUUUUAUUACCAAUUUGUUUUGUAUAUAGACAUAUAUACAUAUAUAUAUAUAUAUAUUAAAGUUCAUCAUUCUCGAUAUCAUUUAAUUUUCAUCAUAAAUAGAAAAGUGUGUAAUGAAUAAUUUUGUUAAUAAUUAAGCAGUAUGUACUUGGAUAUAUAAAGGAUAAACAAAUUGCACACAAUUGUGAUUGAUUAUUGGUGUGCAAACACAUACAAGCGAGAAGACUCAUUGCGAGCAACAAUGUAUAUAAUCAGCUGCAAUCAUAUAAUUCGCUGCCAUGCAUGCAAUCGAUGUAUUAGUCCUCUUUAACGGAAUUGCUGAUAAAUUCUGAUUAAAAAAAAAAAAAAAAAAAAGAAAA